GCAGUCGAACGAACUUCCGUUAAUUGAUUAUGACGUGCUUGCACUGAAUGAGAUUUUAACACGAAGUGAGUGGCGGACGGGUGAGUAACACGUGGGUAACCUGCCCAGAAGCAGGGGAUAACACCUGGAAACAGAUGCUAAUACCGUAUAACAGAGAAAACCGCCUGGUUUUCUUUUAAAAGAUGGCUCUGCUAUCACUUCUGGAUGGACCCGCGGCGCAUUAGCUAGUUGGUGAGGUAACGGCUCACCAAGGCGAUGAUGCGUAGCCGACCUGAGAGGGUAAUCGGCCACAUUGGGACUGAGACACGGCCCAGACUCCUACGGGAGGCAGCAGUAGGGAAUCUUCCACAAUGGACGCAAGUCUGAUGGAGCAACGCCGCGUGAGUGAAGAAGGGUUUCGGCUCGUAAAGCUCUGUUGUUAAAGAAGAACGUGGGUGAGAGUAACUGUUCACCCAGUGACGGUAUUUAACCAGAAAGCCACGGCUAACUACGUGCCAGCAGCCGCGGUAAUACGUAGGUGGCAAGCGUUAUCCGGAUUUAUUGGGCGUAAAGCGAGCGCAGGCGGUCUUUUAAGUCUAAUGUGAAAGCCUUCGGCUCAACCGAAGAAGUGCAUUGGAAACUGGGAGACUUGAGUGCAGAAGAGGACAGUGGAACUCCAUGUGUAGCGGUGAAAUGCGUAGAUAUAUGGAAGAACACCAGUGGCGAAGGCGGCUGUCUGGUCUGUAACUGACGCUGAGGCUCGAAAGCAUGGGUAGCGAACAGGAUUAGAUACCCUGGUAGUCCAUGCCGUAAACGAUGAUUACUAAGUGUUGGAGGGUUUCCGCCCUUCAGUGCUGCAGCUAACGCAUUAAGUAAUCCGCCUGGGGAGUACGACCGCAAGGUUGAAACUCAAAAGAAUUGACGGGGGCCCGCACAAGCGGUGGAGCAUGUGGUUUAAUUCGAAGCUACGCGAAGAACCUUACCAGGUCUUGACAUCUUCUGCCAACCUAAGAGAUUAGGCGUUCCCUUCGGGGACAGAAUGACAGGUGGUGCAUGGUUGUCGUCAGCUCGUGUCGUGAGAUGUUGGGUUAAGUCCCGCAACGAGCGCAACCCUUAUUACUAGUUGCCAGCAUUCAGUUGGGCACUCUAGUGAGACUGCCGGUGACAAACCGGAGGAAGGUGGGGACGACGUCAAAUCAUCAUGCCCCUUAUGACCUGGGCUACACACGUGCUACAAUGGAUGGUACAACGAGUCGCGAAACCGCGAGGUUUAGCUAAUCUCUUAAAACCAUUCUCAGUUCGGACUGUAGGCUGCAACUCGCCUACACGAAGUCGGAAUCGCUAGUAAUCGCGGAUCAGCAUGCCGCGGUGAAUACGUUCCCGGGCCUUGUACACACCGCCCGUCACACCAUGAGAGUUUGUAACACCCAAAGCCGGUGGGGU
rnacentral:rRNA from 1 species